UCGGAUUGGAGGUAGGUUGCUGGCAACAGCAACCAGCUUCCGAGAAGUUGGUCAAACUUGGUCAUUUAGAGGAAGUAAAAGUCGUAACAAGGUUUCCGUAGGUGAACCUGCGGAAGGAUCAUUAUAAAAAAUUCGGGCUUGGGUUUAACCCAAGACCUGCCCCCAAAAGGGACCUUUUGUGCACUGUAAAAUUUUUUCACUUAAGCUUUGUCUGAUUGAUAUUUGUACCGAAAGGGACAAGAAUUUUAAUCUAAAACAACUUUUAACAAUGGAUCUCUUGGCUCUCGCAUCGAUGAAGAACGCAGCGAAAUGCGAUAAGUAAUGUGAAUUGCAGAAUUCAGUGAAUCAUCGAAUCUUUGAACGCAUAUUGCGCUCUCCGGCAUUCCGGAGAGCAUGCCUGUUUGAGUAUUGGCCUAAAUGAGAGUCUUCCUUUAAAGAUAUAAAAAAGAACGUCAAGAACCCUCAGUUGAGACUUCUCGACAAUUCAUUGCCGAGUGUUUUAAAAUGCAAUAGUACCGCCACGUUUGCGAACUUGGAGUAAUAUGUGAGCCUGAAAAGGUGACCUCUAUUCUCCUCGGACCAUGUAGACUUGUUAAGCGGGAAGUUUUUGAAUGCCGAAUUAUGGGAGACGGUGUUCAAUUGUUCGAGUAACGACGAACGAAAUAAACUCAAUCUCAAAUCAGGUAGGAUUACCCGCUGAACUUAAGCAUAUUAAUAAGCGGAGGAAAAGAAACUAACAAGGAUUCCCCUAGUAACGGCGAGUGAAGCGGGAAGAGCUCAAAGUUGGAAUCUGGGCAGGUUUCCUGCUCCGAAUUGUAAUCUAUAGACGUGUU
rnacentral:rRNA from 1 species